CCUUGGCCAUGCGGAUGGGCAGGCGAGUGAACGGGAUCGGGUACCACAGUAAGAUGCCGGAGAUGUUGAAGAAAAAGUGGCACAGGGCGAUCUGCAACACAAGAGGUUGGACAGGCAAAAGCACCAACACGGAGAGCCAGUUGAAGAAGUCAUGGACGGUGGCUCCUGCAAAAGCUCUAUGGGAGGGAAACCCCGACAGCCAGAUUAGUCACUAAGCAAGUGGGCACCAUGUGAGGUGGGUCAUUACCUGUAUCAUCUGCCACCCUGUGCUAGGUGUCACCUAUGGAAGUGUGCACAUGUAUACAAUCUCAUUUUUGUUCUCUCAUAGCGAUCCCCAAAGUGGCUGGUAUCUAUAUUCCCAUUGGCCAGAUGAGGAAGCUGCGGGCCAGCAAGCAUGUUACGGCUGGAAUAAUUAGCUCAGCAAUCACUGUUUUGAAGAAUUGCAUCAGGGCACUUUUGUAUCAUGUAUAUUGAAGGCUACCUUCUUUUGGAAAGGUGGGGACCAGUAUGAAGGCAAUCAAAGCCCUCUAUGCUGGAGUUUUCAAUUGUUUCAAACACAUAGAAAUUAUAAAUCCCCAAAGCGAUGGGCACCUCAAAUACCCUGAUUUGAUCACUACACAUUCUAUGAAUGUAACAAAAUAUCACGUGUAUCCCAGAAAGGUGUAAAAAUAUUUUGUAUCAAUAAAAAAAUUUAACUUAGAAA